rnacentral:rRNA from 1 species
AGUGAACGCUGGCGGUAGGCCUAACACAUGCAAGUCGAACGGCAGCACAGUAAGAGCUUGCUCUUACGGGUGGCGAGUGGCGUACGGGUGAGGAAUACAUCGGAAUCUACUUUUUCGUGGGGGAUAACGUAGGUAAACUUACGCUAAUACCGCAUACGACCUACGGGUGAAAGCAGUGGAUCUUCGGACCUUGCGCGAUUGAAUGAGCCGAUGUCGGAUUAGCUAGUUGGCGGGGUAAAGGCCCACCAAGUCGACGAUCCGUAGCUGGUCUGAGAGGAUGAUCAGCCACACUGGAACUGAGACACGGUCCAGACUCCUACGGGAGGCAGCAGUGGGGAAUAUUGGACAAUGGGCGCAAGCCUGAUCCAGCCAUACCGCGUGGGUGAAGAAGGCCUUCGGGUUGUAAAGCCCUUUUGUUGGGAAAGAAAAGCAGCAGGUUAAUACCCCGCUGUUCUGACGGUACCCAAAGAAUAAGCACCGGCUAACUUCGUG